AUUGAACGCUGGCGGCAGGCCUAACACAUGCAAGUCGAGCGAGCGGCGGACGGGUGAGUAAUGUAUGGGGAUCUGCCUGAUAGAGGGGGAUAACUACUGGAAACGGUAGCUAAUACCGCAUACCAUCAGAUGAACCCAGAUGGGAUUAGCUUGUAGGUGGGGUAACGGCUCACCUAGGCGACGAUCCCUAGCUGGUCUGAGAGGAUGAUCAGCCACACUGGAACUGAGACACGGUCCAGACUCCUACGGGAGGCAGCAGUGGGGAAUAUUGCACAAUGGGCGCAAGCCUGAUGCAGCCAUGCCGCGUGUAUGAAGAAGGCCUUCGGGUUGUAAAGUACUUUCAGCGGGGAGGCGUUACCCGCAGAAGAAGCACCGGCUAACUCCGUGCCAGCAGCCGCGGUAAUUC
rnacentral:rRNA from 1 species